CCUACGGGAGGCAGCAGUGGGGAAUAUUGCACAAUGGGGGAAACCCUGAUGCAGCGACGCCGCGUGAGUGAUGAAGUAUUUCGGUAUGUAAAGCUCUAUCAGCAGGGAAGAUAAUGACGGUACCUGACUAAGAAGCUCCGGCUAAAUACGUGCCAGCAGCCGCGGUAAUACGUAUGGAGCAAGCGUUAUCCGGAUUUACUGGGUGUAAAGGGAGCGCAGACGGCAGGGCAAGUCUGAUGUGAAAGUCCGGGGCUCAACCCCGGGACUGCAUUGGAAACUGUCCGGCUAGAGUGCAGGAGAGGUAGGCGGAAUUCCCGGUGUAGCGGUGAAAUGCGUAGAGAUCGGGAGGAACACCAGUGGCGAAGGCGGCCUACUGGGCUCUAACUGACGCUGAGGCACGAAAGCGUGGGUAGCAAACAGGAUUAGAUACCCUUGUAGUC
rnacentral:rRNA from 1 species